AUUUCGUGGAGGUCCGAACCCACGAGCGUUGAAAAGCUCGGGGAUGACUUGUGGGUAGCGGUGAAAUUCCAAUCGAGCCCGGAGAUAGCUGGUUCUCCCCGAAAUAGCUUUAGGGCUAGCCUCAAGGGGAGAGAUACGGAGGUAGAGCACUGAAUGUCCUAGGGGGUAUUGCACCUACCGAAGACUAUCAAACUCCGAAUGCCGUCAUCUUAUACUUGGGAGUCAGACUGUGGGUGAUAAGAUUCAUAGUCGAAAGGGCAACAGCCCAGAUCGUCAGCUAAGGUCCCUAAAUGUAAGUUAAGUGGUAAAGGAUGUGGGAUUGCACAGACAACCAGGAUGUUGGCUUAGAAGCAGCCACUCAUUCAAAGAGUGCGUAAUAGCUCACUGGUCGAGUGAUCCUGCGCCGAAGAUUUCCGGGGCUAAAACUUACUACCGAAGCUACGGCAUCAGUAAUGAUGGGUAGGGGAGCUUCCCAUACGGGUUGAAGCAUGACCGUAAGGACAUGUGGACAGUAUGGGAGUGAGAAUGUUGGCAUGAGUAGCGAGAUGUGGGUG
rnacentral:rRNA from 1 species